UGGUGGUGGGGGUGGGAUAAUUGGAUUAUUGUGGUUUUGUCCAUACAACCACUGAAUAUGAGCAUCACUCCGAAUCCCAGUUAUCCCAGUAUGGAGAGUUAUAGUGGUUCCUUCCACUUCCUGCAGUGUGACCGUCUCGUCUCCAGCUUCACACACUCCAGUGUGUUGUGUUUGCAGUAAAGGAGUAAACUUACAGCACAAUAGGAGGAGAACAGACCGGAGAAUCCACUUUCCUGCUAAAAUGGUCACCAUGUUUUUAGUCCACAGUAAGCGUUUCUCAGACAAAACAUUUUCCCGUCGUCCUGCACAUCAGAGUCAGA